AAAUAAUCUUUGGGGAGUCCGUGUGACGGGCUGAGAGGGUAAUCGAUUACCGACCCAUUGACCUGAUACGGAUCAUGCCGUCGUAGGAAUUUCCCACGUUGAUA
rnacentral:ncRNA from 2 species